UAGUGGCGAACGGGUGAGUAACACGUGGGCAAUCUGCCCUUCACUCUGGGACAAGCCCUGGAAACGGGGUCUAAUACCGGAUAACACUGCGGAUCGCAUGGUCUGUGGUUAAAAGCUCCGGCGGUGAAGGAUGAGCCCGCGGCCUAUCAGCUUGUUGGUGAGGUAGUGGCUCACCAAGGCGACGACGGGUAGCCGGCCUGAGAGGGCGACCGGCCACACUGGGACUGAGACACGGCCCAGACUCCUACGGGAGGCAGCAGUGGGGAAUAUUGCACAAUGGGCGAAAGCCUGAUGCAGCGACGCCGCGUGAGGGAUGACGGCCUUCGGGUUGUAAACCUCUUUCAGCAGGGAAGAAGCGAAAGUGACGGUACCUGCAGAAGAAGCGCCGGCUAACUACGUGCCAGCAGCCGGGGUAAUACGUAGGGCGCAAGCGUUGUCCGGAAUUAUUGGGCGUAAAGAGCNUCGUAGGCGGCUUGUCACGUCGAUUGUGAAAGCCCCGAGGCUUAACCUCGGGUCUGCAGUCGAUACGGGCUAGCUAGAGUGUGGNAGGGGGAGAUCNGAANUUCCU
rnacentral:rRNA from 1 species